AUUGAACGCUGGCGGCAUGCUUUACACAUGCAAGUCGAACGGCAGCAUGGGUGCUUGCACCUGAUGGCGAGUGGCGAACGGGUGAGUAAUGUAUCGGAACAUGUCCGGAAGUGGGGGAUAACGUAGCGAAAGUUACGCUAAUACCGCAUAUGCCCUGAGGGGGAAAGGAGGGGAUCGCAAGACCUUUCGCUUUCGGAGUGGCCGAUAUCAGAUUAGCUUGUUGGGGAGGUAAAGGCUCACCAAGGCGACGAUCUGUAGCGGGUCUAAGAGGAUGAUCCGCCACACUGGGACUGAGACACGGCCCAGACUCCUACGGGAGGCAGCAGUGGGGAAUUUUGGACAAUGGGGGCAACCCUGAUCCAGCCAUGCCGCGUGAGUGAAGAAGGCCUUCGGGUUGUAAAGCUCUUUCGGACAGAAAGAAAUCGCACUUACUAAUACUGAGUGUGGAUGACGGUACUGUAAGAAGAAGCACCGGCUAACUACGUGCCAGCAGCCGCGGUAACAC
rnacentral:rRNA from 1 species